CAACACACAUUUUAUUAUCUCCAUUUCUGAGGUCAGAAGUUGAGCACUGGGCUAAAAUCAAGUGUCAGUGAGGAUGCAUUCCUGUGGGGGCUCUGGAGAGGAUUCCACUUCUGCACUUAUUCAGAGCCAGCAUCAGCAUAGAAAUAAAUGGCAUCUAAAUUGAAAAGGAAGAAGUAAAACUUUCAUUAUAUGCAGAUGACAUGAGACUGUAUAUAUAGGAAACCUGAAAGACUCCACCAAAAAACUACUAAAACUGAUAUGUUUCCUGAGGCAAGGAAAACAAAAGCAAAAA